rnacentral:misc_RNA from 1 species
AACCAUAGAAACCUGCGGAGUACCUGCGGAGGGAUCAUUACAGAGUUCAUGCCCUCACGGGUAGAUCUCCCACCCUUGAAUACUAUACCUUUGUUGCUUUGGCGGGCCGCUUUGGCUACUGGCUCUGGCUAGUAAGUGCCCGCCAAAGAACCCCAAAACUCUGAAUAUUAGUGUCGUCUGAGUACUAUAUAAUAGUUAAAACUUUCAACAACGGAUCU